rnacentral:rRNA from 1 species
ACGGGAGGCAGCAGUGGGGAAUAUUGCGCAAUGGGGGGAACCCUGACGCAGCAAUACCGCGUGAGUGAAGAAGGUUUUCGGCUCGUAAAACUCUUUUAUCAGGGAAGAAAGAUGACGGUACCUGAUGAAGAAGUCCCGGCUAACUACGUGCCAGCAGCCGCGGUAAUACGUAGGGGACAAGCGUUGUCCGGAAUGACUGGGCGUAAAGGGCACGUAGGCGGUUUGAUAAGUCUGAUGUGAAAGGUACCGGCUCAACCGGUGACCUGCAUUGGAAACUGUCAGACUUGAGUACUGGAGAGGCAAGCGGAAUUCCUAGUGUAGCGGUGAAAUGCGUAGAUAUUAGGAAGAACACCGGAGGCGAAGGCGGCUUGCUGGACAGAGACUGACGCUGAGGCACGAGGGCGGGGGGAGCAAACAGGAUUAGAUACCAUGGUA